rnacentral:lncRNA from 1 species
UUCCUUUUUAUUUAAAUAAUGAUUCACUGUGUACCUAUUUAUUUAUUUAUCUUUUUCCUAUGGGACACAGUUGCGCUGCCUUAUGUUGCUGCUGCCUCUUGGACAUGUGCUUUUAAGGACUCUGAAUGAUUCUUUGUAAAAUUUGCAGCUUAUAAUUGCUUCCCUUGUGUUUCUGUUUGCAAAUCAUAAUUAUUUUUGCUCUUUUUAUGUCACUGUACGUACUAUGUAUUCUUUAUUCACUCAAUAGCCUUCCUCUUCGAUUAAUAGGCAGGUAAUCUUCGGGUAUGGAGAAUUAAUUGUUUUUUAAAAUAUUUUUUAUUUAUAAAUAUAUUAAAAUAAUAUAUUUUUAAUUUUUUUUUAAUAUCAAUACAUCAAACAAAAUCUGAAAAUAUAUAAAAAAAAUUAAAUGUUUUUUUAUUUAUUUUAACCAACCCUUAACCCGUAAUUCUAAUCAGUGGCGAAAUCUUAAAAAGGAUCUCAGUACAUUAAUCAAAUUGCUGAUAGAUGGGCUAUAUAUAUAGACUAGUUUGUGUUUCAAAAGUUGAGGAGCUUGGUAACGGGACAGGCUCCACGGCGUAACCUACGCGAGUGGGAAGGGAGACUGUAGACUUCAGAAUAGAAAAGAAAAGGCUAAAGAAUUGAUGCAAUGAAACAUAACUAAUCAUUGUAUAUACUCUUAUAGGUUGUUUUACAUUACAUUUGUACUUGUGUUUUUUAAUGUAUUUUAAAGGUGAGUUUGGUAUAAAAAAAGACAUCGAAUUAAUUUUUAAAAUUUUUUAUGAUAGUUUUAAUGUAAUGAUGUUACUAAUAAGAAAAUUUUUUUAAAAAAAUUAAUAUAUUUUUUAAAAAAUACAUAUCAAACACAUUUGAUCUUCCGACAAAAGAUGAACUCAAAUGAUUUGUUAAUUCAAGUGCUGAUUAAUAGAAAGCAAGGUGAUUCAAGUGAUGAUUAAUAGAUGAACUCAUCUAAUAUAAAAAUAAUUCUAAGUGAUGUUUUUUAAAAUUUUAACCGCUCUCUAUUUAGCAUGCAAUCCUAAUCAGUGGCGAAAUCUUAAAAAGGAUCUCAGUACAUUAAUCAAAUUGCUGAUAGAAGGGCUAUAGACUAGUUUGUGUUUUGAACGUUGAGCAGCUUGGUAAUGGGACAGACAGGCUCCAUGGCGUAACCUGCACGAGUGGGAAUGGAGACUGUAGACUUUAGAAAAACAUAUAUUUAAAUAACAUAUAUUUUUAAUAUUUUUUUAUGGUUUUAAUAUGCUAAUAUCAAUAAUUAAAAAAUUAAAAAAUAUAUUUUAAUAUAUUAAAAAAAAAUAUUUUGAAAAACAUAUUUUACUAUAAUACCAAACACACAUUUAAUCAUUUUUCCCUUUUUAUUUAAAUAAUGAUUAACUGUAAAAUUUGCAGCUUAUAAUUGUUUCCCUUGUGUUUCUUGUUGGAAAUAAUAAUUAUUUUCGUUCUUUUUAUAUCACUGUACGUACUACGUUUAACAUUUGUCUAAUUCCUUCAGCCUUUAUUAUAGGAAAGAUGUUAACCAUGUUAGAAAAUCUUGCUUCCACUGAGUCUAUCUUAGAAACAGAAUUUGGAAGAAAAAUUGAUUAAAAAUUCAGUUUCUACAGAUUCAAAGUUCAUCGAGUUACCUACCGAAAUCAAUCUAGCGCCUGUCCAUAUCCGCUUAAGUGAUGGUAAGGGAAGCAUUAAGCGGCCGACACCAUAGAUAGCCACUGCAAAGAAAUGGAGAACCAAGUUCAUUGGCCGAUGGUCUAGACCAGAGAGUAGAGCUAUGGGUCCAUUCGAAAAAACUCCACCAAGGCUUAAAUAGUCAAAGCAAGGGUCAAAAUACGUGAAGAAAUAAGAUAGACUAAAAAUUGGAUUAAUAAAGAUAAAAACCGAGCCUUUUGGUUGUACUUUAAAUUGACUUAAUCUUAAUUAUUGUUCUCUGCAAAUAGGAAAUCAUAUGUACAGAAGCAGAUAAUGGAAUCAAUAACCUUCGGUCUGCGUGUAUUUUCCUAUAAUAUCAAAAGUGAAAAAAAUUAUUCUUUGAAUUCGUCAAGAAUAUAUGAAGUAUGUUUAUAGAAAAGGAUGCCGAUAAUGUUGAAAUAGGAGAAGAUUUCCUUUUGAUAUAUUUAGAUUCAAGUAAAAAUAUUCCUAGUUUAAAAAGAUUUGUAUUUAGGAUUUUUAUUAAAUUAAUAUUUAAAAUCCUUAUUUGAAAAAAGAUAGUUUAAAUUUAUCUUGAUUCUAUAAACUUCUUUUAAAUAUAAGGGUGAUAUGUGUUAAUUAUCAGUGAAUAAAGGCUUAGUAUUAAUUAAAGUUUCUUGGAAUAAAUCAAGUCUUGUUUUCAAAACAUGACAGCUACCAAUCUCACGGUAAGAUUUUAGGAGCGUAUCCACCGCCACCGAGCCAGCUGGGGCGCGAUGUCCUCCUCCUUCGCAAGCUUAUGCACUACCCGUCCAAGCUGGUCCGUAUGUUGCUCCACAUCCAGUUGAUUACCCUCCGACAAAUGGUGCUGAACACACCAAAAUAUCACCCCCUCCUGAAAAAGAAGAAGCAUAAAUGGUAACUGAGCAUUUCAAAACUCUCUCUGUGUAAAUUCCAUUGCAAAUAAUAAUUCAUCGUUAUAUAUAUAUAUAUAUAGAAAAAGAAUCAGCUUGCAUGCCUGGAGGUUGAUGGACAGAUCCUAUCUAAACCAAUCGAUGUGAAGCUAGCUAUCUUUAACUUUUUUCGCAACCUAUACUCCCACCAGAACAGACCUAGAGCUUCAUGUUCAAACCUGGAAUUCUCAAGGCUGAAGCCUUCAUCCUCGGCUGCUCUUGAAUUGCCAUUUUCUGCAGAAGAGAUUAAAACAGCUGUGUGGGAUUGUGAUGGAAAUAAAGCUCCAGGUCCUGAUGGUAUUAACUUCCUUUUCAUCAAGAAAGCGUGGAACAUUAUAGGUGAGGAUAUUAUCCAGAUGGUUGAUGACUUCUAUCGGACUAAUCUCCUUCCUGCUGGUAUCAAUAGCACCUUUGUUACUCUUAUUCCGAAGAUUAAAGGUGCAAACAAGCUAUCAGAUUUCAGACCUAUUAGUUUGGUUGGCAGCCUAUACAAGAUCAUCUCAAAGAUUCUAGCAACCAGGUUGAAACAUGUUAUGCCAGAGGUCAUCUCUCAUCAUCAAAAUGCUUUCCUCAAAGGGAGGCAAAUUUUAGACAGCGUCUUGAUUGCAAAUGAGGUCCUUUUUUUCAUUAAGAAGAAAAAGGGUAAAGCUUAUCUCUUCAAAUUAGAUUUUCAUAAAGCCUUUGAUUCGGUGUUAUGGGAAUAUAUUAAUGAAAUCAUGGCUAGUAUGGGCUUUGGCAAUAGAUGGCGAGGGUGGAUUAUGCAAUGCAUAUCAACGGCAAAAAUGUCUGUGCUUGUUAAUGGGUCUCCCACGGAGGAAUUCUGCUUAGCUAAAGGCCUACGCCAAGGAGACCCUCUCUCUCCGUUUCUCUUCAACAUUGCAGUCCAGGGAUUGAGUUAUAUGUUGCAGCGUGGCUGUGAUUUGGGUUUGACUUCAGGUAUCAACAUCGGCAAUGCAGGGCUUGUCAUAUCUCACUUACAGUUUGCGGACGACACCCUUAUAUUCAGUUCAGACUCUUUACAUAGCAUGCAGAACAUUAAAUGUAUCCUAUUAUGCUUUGAACUUGUCUCGGGGUUGAAGGUCAAUUUUUAUAAAAGUAGCAUUGUCGGUGUGGGUGUAGCAGCUCAUACAUGUAACUUCACGGCUCAGCUUCUCAGAUGCAAGCAGGAUCAGCUGCCUCUCAUGUAUCUUGGACUCCCCAUCGGUGGAAACCUGGUCAGAGCUACAAUGUGGAAUCCUAUUUUACGCAAUAUCAGUUUCCGGUUGGCUUCGUGGAAAUGCAGGUUCUUAUCUAUUGGGGGCCGUUUGUGCUUGAUUAAAUCUGUGCUCCGCAACCUCCCCAUCUACUACCUAUCUAUGUUCCCUAUGCCUGCUUCGGUUGCCUCCAUAAUUGAUCACAAACUUCGAUCCUUCCUCUGGUCUGGAAAUGAGGAAAGACACAAAAUUUGCAAUGUCAGCUGGGCCACUGUUACUCUUCCAAAACAAGCGGGUGGUCUUGGGAUUGGUCCCUUAAGGGACAAAAACACAGCUCUGCUCUUUAAAUGGUUAUGGAGGUUUGGGUCGGAGGAAUCAAGUUUGUGGACGGAUGUGAUCAAAAGCAUCCACAUCUCCAAUUGCUCUAAUCUGCUGCUGCAAGCUCCUAUUCCAUGAGCUGCAACUACAUGGUCCCGGAUUGUCAAUCAUUGUGUGAGAAAUAAUAAGCUGCAGGAUAUUGUGAAAGAGCAAUCUCUGGUUCUUAUCGGAAAUGGCAAGAAGACUAAAUUUUGGCUUGACUGCUGGCUUAAUAACCACUGUUUAGCAGAGCACUUCCCUACUCUUUUCCAAUUAUCCAAUGACAAAGCUGCCAGCAUUGCUAAAAUGGGAAUGUGGGAAGGGUAUGAGUGGAUUUGGGUUUUUUCCUGGAUACGUCCGCUACGGGGGUGCAGCAUUGGCUUGCUCGAUCAGCUUUAUGCAAUCCUAUCGACUGUACUCAUGGACAAAGAUGAAGAGGAUAGACUAAUAUGGAAGGACAAUAAUUCAGGAAGAUUUUCAGUUAAAUCUCUCUGUGGAUUGUUAAGCCCAAAGCCUUCCACAAACAAUGCCUUCUCGUUUGCUGGAAUUUGGAAAGGUAUUGUCCCUCCUAAGGUAGAGAUCUUUUGCUGGAUGGCUAUCAUUAACAGAAUCAACACCUGAUGCAUGUUGGUUCGAAGAGGUAUAUUGAGUAGCUCAGAAUCAAAUUGCCCUAUCUGCCUAGUGGAGGCAGAAUCGGUGGACCAUAUCCUGCUUCAAUGCCAUAAGCAUUGGCUCAUUUGGUCCAAAAUCAUUAAGUGGUGGGGUUUAGUUUGGUGUUGCCCAAAGAGCUUCUCAGAUUUGUGGUCUCAAUGGACUUCCAUGGUGCAUGGUCAUUUUCAGAGGAAAGCGUGGCUGAUGUUGUUCUUCUCAGUGGCAUGGUCUCUUUGGCUACUUCGAAAUGAUCUGAUCUUCCAACAGAAGACACCUGACUAUGAUUCAAUAUUCUUUCUUAUUAUCACCCGUCUAUGUCUAUGGCUAAAAGCUAUCCAUUCUGAUUUCCCAUACUCCCCUUCAGAUCUGAUUAGAUCGGCAGAUGGCUUACUUCGGUGGUCCAAUGCCCACUCCUUCAGGAUUCAUAAUAUGUGGUCUCCUCCUAUGAUUAAUAGCCUCAAAUGGAACGUGGAUGGCUCGUCUCUUGGUAAGCCAGUCCCUUCUGGAAUAGGUGGUGUACUGCGAAAUCAUCAUGGACAUCUUCUCGGUAUGUUCUCUGUUCCAGUUGGUAUUUUAGACUCUAAUAUUGCUGAGUUAAGGGCUAUUGUCAAAGCCAUUGAACUUUCAGCAUCUAAUUGUCUCUUCCACCAUCAACACCUUAUCAUAGAAUCUGACUCAGUCAAUGCUUUUUUCGUUUACCAAACAAGUUUUUCAGAGGUGAUAUCGUAUCUUGAUUUCAACAAUGAGUUACUACAACAACCAGUAUCAAGCUUCAGCAGGUAAUUGAAUUUAUGUUCGGCUUGUGAAAAUCUUUUCUUUUCUUUUCUUUUUUUCUUUUUUUAAUGUGAUUUAGGAAGUUAAUCAAAAUGGGUUACUAAAUUGAUGAUUUUUCAGGAGUAUAUCCUCCACCACCUCCAGCAUCUGGUUCAUAUUAUCCACCAAAGCAGGAGGUGUAUCCUCCUCCUCCUCCACCACAGUUUUAUCCACCACCACUAGUGCAAGGGUACUAUGAAUUGCCGGUCCUUAUGUUGCACCACCUCCAGUUAGUUACCCUAUGAGAUAUGGUCCUCAACACCACCAACAGCCACCUCCUCCUCCAGAAAAAACUAAGCAGAGGGGUGAUGAAUUUUGCACAGGAUGGUAACUGAGCAUUUUUUUUUCCUUUUCAUUUAAAUAAUGAUUCACUUUGUACCUAUUUAUUUAUUUAUCUUUUUCCUAUGGGACACGGUUGCGCUGCCUUAUGGUGCUGCUGCCUCUUGGACAUGUGCUUUUAAGGACGAUGAAUGAUUCUUUGUAAAAUUUGCAGCUUAUAAUUGCUUCCCUUGUGUUUCUUGUUGCAAAUCAUAAUUAUUUUUGCUCUUUUUAUGUCACUGUGCUAUGUAACCUUCCUCUUUGAUUAAUAGGCAGGUAAUAUUCGGGUAUGGAG